GACGAACGCUGGCGGCGUGCUUAACACAUGCAAGUCGAACGGACCUGGCUUGGUACUUGUACUGGGUUUUGGUUAGUGGCGAACGGGUGAGUAAUACGUGAGUAACCUGCCCUCUACUUUGGGAUAAGCGCUGGAAACGGUGUCUAAUACUGGUUAUUCCUGCUGGGACGCAUGUUUUGGUGGGGAAAGGUUUUUUCUGGUGGGGGAUGGGCUCGCGGCCUAUCAGCUUGUUGGUGGGGUGAUGGCCUACCAAGGCUUCGACGGGUAGCCGGCCUGAGAGGGUGACCGGUCACACUGGGACUGAGAUACGGCCCAGACUCCUACGGGAGGCAGCAGUGGGGGAUAUUGCACAAUGGGCGAAAGCCUGAUGCAGCGACGCCGCGUGGGGGAUGAAGGCUUUCGGGUUGUAAACCUCUUUCGCUACCGAACAAGGCCGCAGUUUUUGUUGUGGUUGAGGGUAGGUGGAUAAGAAGCGCCGGCUAACUACGUG
rnacentral:rRNA from 1 species